AUGAACGGUGGCGGAUCCGGCGGCAAGGCCAAGGUGCCGCAGGCGAUGGCGCCGGUGGAGGGUGGUUUAUUCUCCACAUCCAUGCGCCGGGAGAGGAAGCAGCCUCUGCGUUGUUCUGCACCAAAUUCGGCAAGGGGGGACGCGCAGCCGUCCUCCUCCUGCUCUGCAUCCAUGGCACUCAUCUCGAAAGGGGAGGUCAUCGUUGGAGGAGAGGAUGAUGGUGAAGCAGCAGAGGAUGAUGGUGCCCAGCCAUGGUAUGGAUUUGGGGCGUAUUUCAAGCAGGACAACGAGUUCAUUUGCGGCAGCUAUCGCUAUGAGCAGUCCGUCCACAACGCGCUCCGCAGCGUCUUCGCCGGGCACAACGAGAUCCUCAAUGUCUGGAAGGAUAAAGUGAAGAAAAAGAAGAAAAGAUUACUAGAAGAUUAG
rnacentral:rRNA from 1 species